GAUCAUCAUAAAUUAGGAAAAAAAAAAACGAAGUUUUACGGUCCGAACUAUGACCCCCAAUAGUCAAGUCAGCCCACACAAGCCCUAGAAGCGGCUUAAGAUGUAUCAACAAGAACUACGAGCGAGAAAAGUGACCGCUGUUAUUUGACGUAUGUCUAAUCUUCCUAGCAAUGUACGCAUAUGGCCAGCAAACUGCUAGCUAGUGUAAUCGCGAAUCGGGACCAAUCUGUUACAAACGAGUUGUCGGCCACCGUUAUUUCAUACGCGAUUACGCAUAUCAAAAUGGCCGUUAUCAAAACACGAGUACGUGCUAAUGCAGUGCGUGAUAAUAAGAAAGGGCACCGAGCUACUUAUAUCCGCUGCUAUGAAUCGACCUACAAGCUUACCGAACGGCGACAUUAGGAAGGAGCCUCAUUUUCCCAUUACAUUUCUUUAGGUCCCUAAAACACCGUUGAAGUGCAGUCGAGGAAUGAAACAGCGUUCAGCUUCGACGCCUUGAUGAGAUUCGUGCGGAAAGCUUUUGAAGUAGAUCGAAAUUUCAAUGGUUUGAAGCGAUAUCGCAUCAGCUGUGGCAUUUAACUUCAUAGUGAAUUUAGUGGUAAGUUGAUAUUGCGAUUGCCAGGCUCGUGCGAAGUCGAGUAGCUCCUCCUUGCCAAGAAAGUAUAGUGCUGUUUUAAAACGACGGCGACGGCGGCGGCGGCGUCGUCACCGCUGCCAUCAGUAGUGGCGUUUGUUGCAGAGCAGUGGACAACAGUUGAAGUUUGCGAAAACUAAACGUCGGUGCAAAUCCAGACGACCUGUUUAGAGACGCUGUACGCCGACGCGUGACUCUAUUACUGAUGUAUGAACAACAUGCUGCCAACAGACAUCUCUGUGAAGAUCGUAAGCAACACUAGAAGAACCCCAGGGAAGCUUGAAGAGCUUUGUUUGUAUGUUCCGACAACGAAAAGAAAAACCAACAAAAGCCAAAACAUCAACGGAGACAUCUUUCGUAGAUGAUUUAAGGCCAUACAGUUGACGUGGAACGCGAGGGACGUCGACAAACGCAAUCUGAAGCAAAGAGGACGAUGGACGCGAUUAGGAAAAUAGCCAGACGAUUACUAGUUUGUUGCGUCAAUACCUGCCGUAGCAACAGACAUCU